GGCCAACCCAUCUGGCGCGUCCCCACGCGGGGCUUCCCUCUGUUAGAAGCGAGACAUAAAGACGCCCAUCUAGCCAUCGUAAUUACCAUGGAUGAUGUGCUGAACAUUGGAGGAUAUGCUGAGCCUUCCAGAGCCACGGCCCAUGAGUUCAUGCUAUAUUUUCAAGUAGCCGCAAGUUUUUCUGCAAAAAGUAGUUGCAAGCCCCCGCACCCCCACCCCCGCACCGGCACGAAUGUGAUAUCUCGAAAUCACACUUGCACUAUUAUUAUUUUUAAAUCGUCCGGUCGUGCAAGUGAAAGGCAAUAACGACGAUAUUCAAUGAACUGGCCGUGGCAGAGAGAAACGAGUAUGAACUCGAUUUGUUUUGUUUUUGUAAAUAUGUUUAACCUAGUAUUCAUGAUUCAGCUUAUUAUGAUCAAACAUGUUUGCAAUGACAAUUAGAGAUUAUAGUUCCUCAUGCCAUGCAUAAGUAGCUAGGAGUGAAUAAUAACUUAUCUUGAAUAUCAACAUUGCUUUAAAAUGAUUGUGAUAUAGUAUGAUGAUGUGGUACCCUCCUCUGAAUGUUCGAGUGGCUUGACUUGGCACAUGUUCACGCAUGUAGUUGAAUCAAAACCAACAUAGCCUUUAUGAUAUUUACGUUCAUGGUGUUCAUAUCCUACUCAUGCUACUAUCCAAUGUUACUUAUGCAUAAUGCAUGUUCAUGACGAUUGUUGCUCUCUAGCUGGUCGAUUCUCAAUCUAUUUUCUAGCCUUCGCCUGUACUAAAGUGGAAACUCUGCUUGUACAUCAAAAAACCUGAAACCCAAGUUAUUCCAGACGAGUCCACCAUACCUACCUAUAUGCGGUAUUACCCUGCCGUCCUAAGUAAAUUUGCAUGUGUCAUGUCUAAAAAUUUCCAAAAGAAAAAUCCUUUUUGUGUGCCUGGAUCGUUCAUGGAACGACAGGAGGUAGUCGGUAUCUUCCAUGCUAAGCGGGUUAUUUUUAGGUCGAGUGUUUAUUCACUUCCAUUGCACGAGAAAAGGGCGGCAAUAGGGAUGCCCAGUCCCAAACUGCAAAAAAAAUUUGAUCUCUCAAAUAAUCAAACAAAAACUCCCAAUGAAGGCAUAACCAUUACUUUUCCGCUUGGGAACCGCCACUAGCGUAUUUAGCAUGGAAGAUAUUGAUAACUGAUGGUCAUGAAGUACAUGAGAAGGAUGCAUGUCUCAAAAUUUCAUUUACCCCUGUUUUAAAAACUUGAGCUUUGGCACCUCUGCAAAUCACUGCUUCCCUCUGUGAAGGGGCUAUCUAUUUACUUUUAUGUUGUGUCAUCACCUUCUCAAAUAAGCGCCAGAACCUGAGAGCACUGCUGUCAUGCUGAUGCAUUGUGUGUAGCUAAUGUUGGGUGCAUCAUUACUGGAUCUUUUCUACCAUGAAUUACAAUGUCUAGUCGCUGCUUGAACUUUAGCGGUGCUUUGCAUUUAUGUUUUGCGGUCUCAGAAAUGACUAGCGAGAUACCACUAUUGUCAUAUUAUAUCAUGGUUAUUUUGACAACGUGUUGCUGUUUGAGAUAUCUUAUUAUUCCUCUCUAGUUGGUUAUGUCAUUGAUAUGAGUUAAUAUAAUUUUUAAGAGUUCUAGUCGACAUGGUUAGUUAUAAUCUUUGCUGAAAACCUGGGUGUUGUUUAAGCUUAUUUAUAAAACAAGAGCAAAAGAGUUCGUAAAAGUUUUUCCUUUUUCACUUUCAGUUUAUCAACUGAAUUGCUUGAGGACAAGCAAAGGUUUAAGCUUGAGGGAGUUGAUACGUCUCCGUCGUAUCUACUUUUCCUAACGCUUUUCCUCUUGUUUUGGACUCUAAUUUGGAUGAUUUGAAUGAAACUAACCCGGACUAAUGCUGUUUUUAGUAGAACUACCAUGGUGUUGUUUUUGUGCAGAAAUAAAAGUUCUCGGAAUGGAAGAAAACUUUGCGAGGAUUUUUUAUACAAUAAAAGAAAAUAUCUAGAGCCAAGAACAAUCGGAGGGGGGCACCUGGGUGGGCACAACACACCAAGGCGCGCCACCCCCUCCAGGCAUGCCUAGGUGGGUUGUCCCCACCUGGUGGCCCCGAUGAACCUGAAACCGACGCUAUAAAAUCACAUAUUUCCAGAAAAAAAUCGGGGAGAAAGAAUUAUCGCAUUUCACGAGACGGAGUCGUUGCCGUCUCCUGUUCUUCAUACGGAGGCCAGAUCUGGAGUCCGUUCGGGGCUCCGGAGAGGGGGAUCUUCGAUCUUCAUCAUCACCAACACAUCUCCAUCGCCAAUUCCAUGAUGCUCCCCACCGGAAGUGAGUAAUUCCUUCGUAGGCUCGCAGGUCGGUGAUGAGUUGGAUGGGAUUCAUCAUGUAAUCGAGUUAGUUU
rnacentral:rRNA from 1 species